rnacentral:lncRNA from 1 species
ACAGCAAUCUUUCCUAUAAAUUUUAACAGUGUACACAAUGUGCUAAUUUUGUCAUACACUGGCAACCUCUUUAACAUUUAGCGAGUAGAAGCUGACAUGUCCAUUAUAUACAGUAUAUACAGAGCAAAACAAAAUGCAAAUAUAUAGAAGUGGCAUUUGCAAAGGUCCCAUAUAAAAAACACUACCUCGAUGUCUCCCAGCGCUUCCUCCAGAGCACUGAGCAAGUACAGGCAGUACUGCUCAUAGAGGUGCUCAUAAUUCUACUCCCAAAGACAGUGUUUCAUGAAUUUUAGCAAAAAGAUAUUUACAAAGUGAUAUUUCACUACCUCUACAUUUCACAUACGUUGGGCACUUCUAAACAUCUGGAUAGACCAGAUGUUUCAAGUAAGGACUGUUGUCCACUAUGUACACAGCAGUCCAGUAAACAGCACACAUGGAACAAGAGUAAUAAUUAAAAAUUUUUUUAACACAAAAAGAAAAAUUUUAACACAAAAGUACAAAAUAUUGUUCUACUACCUCUACUUUACCCUGCAUCGGCAAUCUCUACAGCUAGCUGGAUGUCCAGAUUUCGCCAAAGGUCUCUAUAAAGGGUCGGGGGAAAGGUUGAGAGCAGCUUUUCCAUAUUAUAUACAAGGCCUUCUACGGCCGCGGGUGCGUCUUCGCCAGCCUUUCCGACUGGCCGCAAGCGAUGUCACGUCCCGGCUUCUCUCGGGUGGAAGGAGGACCCGCGCCCCCACGAUCCUUCGAUCCUUGCCGCUAUGCUUUCUUCCAGGACCUUGGGGACCUCUGUUGAUCCAGGUCUAAGGGCUCCACAACCGGGCGGGUCCCUCACAGCGAAGGCCGAGUGCUCUGCGCAGAUCCGCCGCCUCAGGCUGCAGAGGCCCCGAAGAGCCAACCUUGGCCUUCGGGUGGCCACCAUUCUUCCCCC